rnacentral:rRNA from 1 species
AACGAACGCUGGCGGCAGGCCUAACACAUGCAAGUCGAACGCGUCCUUCGGGACGAGUGGCAGACGGGUGAGUAACGCGUGGGAACGUACCCUUUGGUUCGGAACAACAGCGGGAAACUGCUGCUAAUACCGGAUAAGCCCUUCGGGGGAAAGAUUUAUCGCCAGAGGAUCGGCCCGCGUUAGAUUAGCUUGUUGGUGAGGUAAUGGCUCACCAAGGCUACGAUCUAUAGCUGGUCUGAGAGGAUGAUCAGCCACACUGGGACUGAGACACGGCCCAGACUCUUACGGGAGGCAGCAGUGGGGAAUCUUGGACAAUGGGCGAAAGCCUGAUCCAGCCAUGCCGCGUGAAUGAUGAAGGCCCUAGGGUUGUAAAAUUCUUUCGACGGGGAAGAUAAUGAGGUACCCGUAGAAGAAGCUCCGGCUAACUUCCGUGCCAGCAGCCGCGGUAAU